rnacentral:rRNA from 1 species
UCUGGUUGAUCCUGCCAGUAGUCAUAUGCUUGUCUCAAAGAUUAAGCCAUGCAUGUCUAAGUAUAAAUAGUAUACAGUGAAACUGCGAAUGGCUCAUUAAAACAGUUAUAGUUUAUUUGAUAAUUGACAAUUACAUGGAUAACCGUGGUAAUUCUAGAGCUAAUACAUGCUUAAACGCCCGACUUUAUGGAAGGGUGGUAUUUAUUAGACUGAAGCCAAUAUUCCUUGUGUCUAUUGCGGUGAUUCAUAAUAACUGAUCGAAUCUCUUUUUGAGAUAAAUCAUUCAAGUUUCUGCCCUAUCAGCUUUCGAUGGUAGUGUAUUGGACUACCAUGGCAGUAACGGGUAACGAAGAAUUAGGGUUCGAUUUCGGAGAGGGAGCAUGAGAAACGGCUACCACAUCUAAGGAAGGCAGCAGGCGCGUAAAUUACCCAAUCCUGACUCAGGGAGGUAGUGACAAGAAAUAGCAAACCGGGAACCUCACGGUUUCACGGUAUUGCAAUGAGAACAAUUUAAAACCCUUAGCGAGAAUCAAGUGGAGGACAAGUCUGGUGCCAGCACCCGCGGUAAUUCCAGCUCCACUAGCGUAUAUUAAAGUUGUUGCAGUUAAAAAGCUCGUAGUUGAACCUCUGUCUGGGGCUAGUUUUGGCUUUGGUCAGGCUAGUUCUAGGCAUCCGCCUACAAGACUUAGAGGGCAUUCUGUUGUUCACUAGGAGGAGUAGGCAUUUUACUUUGAAAAAAUUAGAGUGUUUAAGGCAGGCAAUCGCCCGCAUAUAUUAGCAUGGAAUAAUAGAAUAGGACACUUUUCCAUUUCGUUGGUUAUUGGAAUCGUGUAAUGAUUAAUAGGGACAGUUGUGGGCAUUUGUAUUUAAUUGUCAGAGGUGAAAUUCUUGGAUUUAUUAAAGACAAACUAACGCGAAAGCAUUUGCCAAGGAUGUUUUCAUUAAUCAAGAACGAAAGUUAGGGGAUCAAAGACGAUCAGAUACCGUCCUAGUCGUAACUAUAAACUAUUCCGACUCAAUGUUUGACUGGCUUAUAUAACCAGUUGAGCGUUGUAUGAGAAAUCAAAGUCUUUAGGUUCUGGGGGGAGUAUGGUUGCAAAGCUGAAACUUAAAGGAAUUGACGGAAGAGCACAACCAGGAGUGGAUUCUGCGGCUUAAUUUGACUCAACACGGGGAAACUUACCAGGUUAAAACAAUAGUGGGAUUGACAGUUUGAGAGCGCUUUCUUGAUUGGUUGGGUGGUGGUGCAUGGCCGUUCUUAGUUGGUGGAGUGAUUUGUCUGCUUAAUUGCGUUAACGAACGAGACCUUAACCUGCUUACUAGACUGGCGAUCAUCAAUCGUUAGCUCUUCUUAGAGGGAC